CAGAGAGGUUACAUGAUUUGCCCAGGGUGCACAGUUAGUAAGCUUUGCUUUCUCUGAAGUGGGGUGAUUGGUUCAGGGAUGAAUAUGUGACCUACAAGCCAACAAGACCCAAUUACUGGGGCUUCUUGGCAAGAGACUUUUGGUUUUCUCCCCUGGACAUGAAGCUGGGGUGGCUGUGAAAAGCAGUGCAGCCACCUGGUGAUAACAGGGAGAAAGCUUCUUUGAGGAUGGAGCCAUGGUAGAACUGAGAGAAAGGAAAAGAAGGAAGAGACCGAAACAGUCCCAAUGACAAAAUGGGAGUUCCUGAGCAGACUGCCUGUAGCCAGCCUACUCCUGGCCACUUCAGUUUGAUAUGGGGAAUGCAGCUAAAGAGGUCAAAUAACUUGCUCAAGUUUACACAGUGACAACACUGGAAUUUGAACCCAGCAAGACUGACUUGUCACUGCCAUCCAAUACUAAUCCUCAUCAGCAUCAGGUUCGCAGGGUUGGAGCCCCUUUCUUGGAAGACCUUCUGUGGUAGGCUCUUCCCUAGUGGCCUCUUUAGGAACAAUGCCUCUGACCCCUGGCCACUAGCUGAAGUUCUGGUCCAAAACAGAUGAACACCCUCCCAAUGAUGUCCCAAGCAUUGCCACUUCCUGGAAACUCAUACUGCCAUGUUCCACUCAUCUGAUUGGAUUUCCGUGAUGUGGAUUCUUGCCUGGACUAGUAAUCAUACUAAGCUGUAACUACUUACCACUCAGUGUGAAAGCACAUGAGGCAUAUUGCUACUGAUCCUUACAAGAGUCUGCAUGAAGAGAGUGUAUCUCCCAUUUUAGAAGUAGCUCAGAGGAGUGCAAAUGAUGGCCCAAAACCACACGGAUAGAGCAUAGCAAAGUUAGCAUUCAAACUCAGGUCUGCUGACAUCACAGCCCAUAUUCAUUUCAUUGUUUCUAAGUUUGCUAGUCCCCAUGAAACACUCUCAGUUGAACCUCUGACCACUCCCCUUGGGGGCCAGCCUCAACCCCUGGUUAGUGGCCUAACCCUAGUCCCACCCACCACAGCUUCCUCUCCUUCCCCUCCUUCCCUCACCCUAGGCCUGCCAAGUCCACAUCCCACCUUGGGAUUGAGCUCGUCUGGGGUGUGAGCUUUAUUAAUCCAAAAUGUUCAAAAAACUUUCCAUAGACUAUGACUCAGAAUAUGUUUAAGCCAUCAUCCUCAGCAAACUAACACAGGAACAGAAAACCAAACACCUCAUGUUCUCACUCAUAAGUGGGAGUUGAACAAUGAGAACACAUGGACACAGGGAGGGGAACAACAUACACCGGG
rnacentral:lncRNA from 1 species